GAUGAACGCUGGCGGCGUGCCUAAUACAUGCAAGUCGAGCGAACAGACGAGGAGCUUUCUCCUCUGACGUUAGCGGCGGACGGGUGAGUAACACGUGGAUAACCUACCUAUAAGACUGGGAUAACUUCGGGAAACCGGAGCUAAUACCGGAUAAUAUAUUGAACCGCAUGGUUCAAUAGUGAAAGACGGUUUUGCUGUCACUUAUAGAUGGAUCCGCGCCGCAUUAGCUAGUUGGUAAGGUAACGGCUUACCAAGGCAACGAUGCGUAGCCGACCUGAGAGGGUGAUCGGCCACACUGGAACUGAGACACGGUCCAGACUCCUACGGGAGGCAGCAGUAGGGAAUCUUCCGCAAUGGGCGAAAGCCUGACGGAGCAACGCCGCGUGUGUGAUGAAGGUCUUCGGAUCGUAAAACUCUGUUAUUAGGGAAGAACAAAUGUGUAAGUAACUAUGCACGUCUUGACGGUACCUAAUCAGAAAGCCACGGCUAACUACGUG
rnacentral:rRNA from 1 species